UAUGGUAUUGGCUUACCGUGGCAGUGACGGUUAACGGGGGAUUAGGGUUCGAUUCCGGAGAGGGAGCCUGAGAAACGGCUACCACAUCUAAGGAAGGCAGCAGGCGCGCAAAUUACCCAAUUCUAACAGUUUGAGAGAGGUAGUAACAAGAAAUAACAAUACAAGGCAGUUAAAAUGCUUUGUAAUUGGAAUGAUAGAAAU
rnacentral:rRNA from 1 species